UACAGAGGGUGCAAGCGUUAAUCGGAAUUACUGGGCGUAAAGCGUGCGUAGACGGUUGCGUAAGUCAGAUGUGAAAGCCCCGGGCUCAACCUGGGAAUUGCAUUUGAGACUGCGUAGCUAGGGUGCGGAAGAGGGAAGCGGAAUUUCCGGUGUAGCGGUGAAAUGCGUAGAUAUCAGGAGGAACACCAGCGGUGUAGACGGCUUUCUGGACCAUUGCUGACGCUGAGACACGAAAGCGUGGGUAGCAAACAGG
rnacentral:rRNA from 1 species